rnacentral:rRNA from 1 species
AGUGAACGCUGGCGGUAGGCCUAACACAUGCAAGUCGAACGGCAGCACAGUAAGAGCUUGCUCUUACGGGUGGCGAGUGGCGGACGGGUGAGGAAUACAUCGGAAUCUACUUUUUCGUGGGGGAUAACGUAGGGAAACUAACGCUAAUACCGCAUACGACCUCCGGGUGAAAGAGGGGAACUUUCGGACCUUGCGCGAUGGAAUGAGCCGUGUUGGGUUAGUCUAGUGGGGGGGUAAAGGCCCCACAAAGCGGCGAACCGUUGCCUGGUUUAGGGGGUGAACCACACAAAUGGAACUGAGACACGGUCCAGACUCCCAAGGGAGGCAACAGUGGGGAAUAUUGGACAAUGGGCGGAAGCCUGAUCCAGCCAUACCGCGUGGGUGAAGAAGGCCUUCCGGUUGUAAAGCCCUUUUGUUGGGAAAGAAAAGCAGCAGGUUAAUACCCCGCUGUUCUGACGGUACCCAAAGAAUAAGCACCGGCUAACUUCGUG